rnacentral:rRNA from 1 species
GGGUCAGUAGGUUGGUCGUGCCACCGGUACGUACUGGUCUCACUGAUUCCUCCUUCCUGAAGAAGCGUAAUGCCAUUAAUAUGGUGUUGCGGGGAAACAGGACUGUUACUUUGAAAAAAUUAGAGUGUUUAAAGCAAGCUAACGCUUGAAUACAUUAGCAUGGAAUAAUGAAAUAGGACGAUCGAUCCUAUUUUGUUGGUUUCUAGGAUUGACGUAAUGAUUAAUAGGAUAUUGGG